rnacentral:rRNA from 1 species
GUACAACUGAACACUCUUCAGACAUAUAUAUCCCGCAAUCUUACUUCACAUCUCAACCAAGAAAAAACCCAGGGUUGCCAAAACCUAAAGUCGCUGUAGAAAUCCGAAACCACAAUCUCAAACCUUACAUAUGCAAAUACGCUUAAAUGAUUUUCCGAGGAUAUAUAUCUGAUCUCUUCGACCAACUCCCUGGUUAGCUCUAUUAACUAACCCAUGCCUUUUAAUCAUGUGAAGUUCAAAAUUUGCACCUGAUGCACCUGCGGUUCUCUUCUCAACCAAUUAUGAAUUGCUGUAUGCGAAAAAGAUUCCUAGGCGGCGUCAUUCCUGCACAAAGCAAACAGAUAAGUUAAGCAUAAUUACGACUGUACAAUAACCGAAGCAAGGAAAAAAGCACAAACAAGUUGCUUCAAUGGUGCCUUUUAGAUCUCAUCAGUGUUAAGUGUCAUCCAGAACUACCAAAUAUUGAUGUCGACAAAUGCAGUAUGAGUAUGAUGCUUGGACUAAAAUGAUCGGGUGAACCCACAUUAAUAGUCUAUGUUCUAAGAGAAAGAGCUCGCUUGAACUGUCCAAAUGAUAUCCAGCAUAUAACAAUCUACGUCAUUUGAAACUUGAAUAGUUUGAGCAAGCCAAAAUGGAUUUACUAUACAUGAUGCGAUGGUAAUUGAUGACAUAAGUAUUAACUGUUAAAUUUGGAAAAUACAAUAUAAAUUGGUUCAGCUAUAAGAAAUUAAGUCCUUGGACCAUAUUUUAGCUUUUAGCUCUAGUCAUAAAGAAGCAAAGAUUGGUCUAUUAAAAAAACGACUUAUAUCAACCAGCAAUGAGACUAGUGUUAGAGUACGUAAUGAGCCUAAUGGGCCGUCUUAGGGUUAAUUAGAGAUAAGGGUCACUUGCUUAGGGAUCAAGUAAGCCUUGCUUGGGAGUCAAGUAAACCUCUCUAUAUAAAGAGAGGAGAUGUAUCAAUCUAAUCAGGCAAGAAUUAAGAAGGAAACCCCUUCCCUCUUGCCCGGCCGUGGGCAAAAAGGCCCCCGGCCGGCCCUCUCGCGCCCUCCUUCUAGCAGCGCCAUAACAAUUUGGUAUCAGCUAGCUUCGGUUCGAUCAUGUCUUCACCGCCGCCAAGCCCGUCUCUUCCGCUCCCGGUCACCUCGGAGGCGACCACCACGAUCGUCGCCCCGCU